rnacentral:rRNA from 1 species
UACGUAGGGUGCGAGCGUUGUCCGGAAUUAUUGGGCGUAAAGGGCUCGUAGGCGGUCUGUUGCGUCAGGAGUGAAAACUCGGGGCUUAACCCCGAGCCUGCUUCUGAUACGGGCAGACUAGAGGUAUGCAGGGGAGAACGGAAUUCCUGGUGUAGCGGUGAAAUGCGCAGAUAUCAGGAGGAACACCGGUGGCGAAAGCGGCUCACUGGACCAUAACUGACGCUGAGGCACGAAAGCUAGGGGAGCAAACGGG